CUGCACACUGCACAUAGUGCACUAUUCAUCCAAUGGGGAGCCAUUUGGGAUUCGGGUUUCAGUCGCGUCGUUUCUGAUUGGCUGCGACUCUGAUAAGCGUUGAUUUCUAUUGGCUGUUGGACACGUCAGUUCAGUCCCUCCAGACCGGCGUCAUGACGUCAGGGCGGAGAGGCGGGGCUACCGCGAGUGUCUCAGCUUUAUCCCAGAUGUUUAUGUAACAUUGAUGGAAGGAGUCUCCAGUGUCAGCGCUUUGUAACAGUCAGAGAGGGAGAAUAAAGAGAGGCUGGUGAGGGAACGAGUGUUUAUAGCUGCUAUAAGGUAAGUGACGUAAGUUUAUAGCUGCUAUAACGUAAGUGAUGUAAGUUAGAGGAACUAACUUGUUUCACAGCUUUCCACAACAU